UUGCUCCGCCCGGUCCUCUGGCGGCAGCCAGAGCCUUCCCAGGUUUUGCCUUCGCCCGGUCCUCGCCCUUCAAAGCUUGGUAAGGUCCAGCCGUCCACCUGUGGCUGUCCUACAACAAAACCACUUCCAGGAAAAGGAAAGGGGUACGUGACAGGCCGAAGAAGUCAGGCUACAAACCGGAUGACAACCGGGUUACAUAAUUAGCAGAAGGGAGGAGCUUCAAAUCCUGGCACUCUAACACAGAGAUUGUUCACUUAAGACUACACAGUACUACUUAUGAAAAAAAACUGGCAGAAGGGUAUUUUACAUACUGUAAACCACACAUACCUUUAUUAUUACUUGCCAGAGGAACCCCUUCAUCUUGCCUAACUGCCAUUGUGUGUGUGUAGAGCAAUUUGGGUGAAAGAAGAACAUGUUUCACAAGCUUAAGUGUGGAUGCUUCACAUUUCUGGGAUUAGUGCUGUACCCUCCCCCAAAUUCAUGGUAAGUUUAUUUGAAAGCAGGUUCUAUAGCAACAAAUGCUUAGCAUUUUUGUAAUUUUCAAACACAGGCUACAAAGCAUAUGAGCUUUUAACAUCACUUACUGUUGGAAGCAGAUGUGGUUAAAGGCACAAAGAGAUUCACAAUUUAGGUUCAAGAUCCUAAUAUCUGAUUUGGUCUACUCAGAUCAAUAACAGCUUGUGGUGUGUGAUACAGUCAUUUUUCACAAAAGUCUCACUCCCCUUAGGAUGCCAUCUCUACUUCCUUUGUGAAGCCAGAAAUAUCAAAAAUUAAUCAUAAAUCACUGCCAUAAAAAUUUCAGAAGGUGAUUCUAGGAGCUUGUGAGAAUACUAGAAGGCAGUGGCAAAGCAUGAGUGACAACAUGCUGUUUUAAUCCACAGUCCCAGUUGUAUAAUUAAAAAGUAAUCAUAAUGACAGUUAUCAUAAAAAAGGCAUGCGCAGUAACUCAAACAGUUGCUUAGCAACCAGUGGAAAAAAUGCUGAAGUGCAAAGAGGCCUGCAUAAAUUAACCGAAAAUCCUCUGUCAAAGAGAUGGGCUAGUUUUUCUGCUACACUGGGUCAUCGUUUUUGUUUUAUUUUUUUAAUGCACAUAUGGGCCUCAUGAGUACGAAAAUCAGGGGUGAACGCAAGAGGUUUAAGAAGACUGCAUUUUACUCAGGAAUUGGAUUUCUGGAUCACUGCAGCAAGAACCAAGGUGUUCUCUCACCCUCUCAACCACCCCUACCCCUCACAUCUCUUCGAGAAAUGCGUUCGUCCUUCCCUAACUUAUGCCACAUAGUAUAUGACAAGAACUAUUUUAUUUACCAUCACCUUCAACACAGGGCCACAAUUUCUGGUCUGUUCUUUUCCUACCAUUCUGAGAUUUAUACACCCAAACAUUUUAUCUGUUUGAAAAGGUGCCUAUGAAAUGCAGUGAGAGUAAUUUGUAGAGAGCAACUUGCUUAAUGAGCAUUCUUUAUCAGCUAGCAGCACCCCAAAAGUCAGACCUCUUUGUAAUCGCGGAUUUAACACCUGACUCUCCCUCAAUGACACAUCUUCAUGGUGUCAUCUUCUACAUUGCCAACAGAUGGUGUCAUGUUUCUAUUGAUGGAGUACAGGCACAUCUCUGUACACCUGUGAUGGACACACUCUUAAUUUUAACUGUGCUACUGGUGAAAUAAAUAAGAAAUAAGCAGUUUGUGACCGAUAGUGCAACAAAGCUCUAAGGGGUAAGGCUAAAACAAUCUAGGUAUGACAUCUCUGUCUUCAGUAAGACCCUAAAAAUUCUAAACCCCAUAAGGAGACAAGUCCAGAGUUCUCUAUGCUCAUAAAGAAGAGAGCUGAAUGCUCUGAGACUUGGGGCCAAUACUGUAAAAUGAGAAAUAAACACAUUUAUUCUGUUUAAAAAAUAAAGGCUCACUGGACUUAAUAUACCUAUCCCACUUUCUUUUUUCCUCUCCUAAGAAUAAAGGACAAAGGCAAAAGGAGGACCUGGAAGUUAUCUAUGGAAGACUUCUUGGGAUAUGUUGUUUCCAUCAUCACUGAAAUAUCUCAGAGUCUGGCUUCCAAAGCCCUCCAGGAUAUGUCCUCAUUCUCUAAAAACCCAACUGGUACCACCAACACACUUCUCUUCUAGUCAGGAGAGUCUCUACUGUGUACCCCCAACUUUCAUGGGCAAUCCCCUCUUUAUGACCCAUUCCAGGUCUCCAGGCCUGACCUAGCUCUCACUCCAUAGCUGGAAAGUUCUCUGUGGUUUUUUCUCCUCUCCAAGUAUUUCCUUAUCCCUCCAGGACCAAGAACCCAUUGUCCAGAAAAAUGGAGGAAAUUCUCCUAAAUAUCAACUACACUUACUCUCAGUCCCCUCAUUGCUCAGAACCUAAUUCUUCCAUGUGUGUUAUUGUUUCUCUCCUCCCUACAGGGUGGGGUUCUCUUACAGACAUCAAACUCAUCCCCCUCCCUCCCAGAGCAAGGGAUUGGAUGGCCAGCUUCGGCAGACAAAGCCAGGAGGUCCUGGGCAGUACCUAGCUUCCACAUUACCUAUAGAAUACCUUGAGGUAGCACGAACACUUGCUGGAGUAAUUUAUUUUUUUCCUAAAUUACAGGUUAAAAAAAAAUUAAACAAACAAACAAAAAAGGAAGUGAAGCAGCCUGACAGUUCUGAAUUCUUGUCAUUUCUUUCUCUAAUUUGAGCUGAGCGAGGGCUUUUUUUUAAUACACCUUUUGAAAUGUGGUGGUUUUCUAUGCACCACCCUGCCCCCGGCCAGAAAGUUGCUUUUUUCCUUUUUAAGUACAGAACAAUAGUCUAAUUGUACAAUGUUGUUUACAGAAGGUGUUCUGUUUCUGUUGAAAUGCUUAUCCUAUCCCAAGGUGUUUUCCAUUAUGUCAUUUUACACAAUUUAAGGCCUAAAUAUAAAUUGCUACUUGGAAAGUACACUACUUCCCAGACAAAAAUGAGACCCCCUCCCCAAGACCACUGAUGGCCUGUGACAUCGGAUGGAUUUUACGUAAUGAUCUACCUCAGGCUAGAAAGUAUGGCUCUGAUGAGACAUGGGGUAAGUGGGGGAGGGGUACAACUUGAAAUACAAGUUUAAAGGCACUCACUGGUCUUACGGUUCACAGGUGUUGGUGGACAAGAACCUCUCCUCUUCAUGGAAGUGAACAGACACCGCGACGUGGCCAUGAGACCAUAGAGUACGAGAUGGAAAAGAGCCACAUACCACUGUGCAAGUGGUAGUUUGAACUCCUUGUAUGCAUGGCUUAUAUACACACACUACUGAGAUUUAAUUUGUUAUGCUUCAUCUGGGAACCGUUUUUUUUUUUCCUCAUUACCUCCACAAACCAAAAGUAUAAUUCCACAUCUAUACUAUGACUCUAAACUGGUGACUGCAUACAUUAUAAACUUUACAUAAAUGUCAGCUUUAGCUUUGAUUAUAUUUUAAGCUUAGAGACAUGCUGAAGGCUGAUAUGCUAGUUAAGAAAUCUACCUCUGGCCGGGCACGGUGGCUCAUGCCUGUAAUCCCAGCACUUUGGGAGGCAGAGGCGGGCCGAUCACCUGAGGUCAGGAGUUCGAGACCAGCCUGACCAACAUGGAGAAACCCCCUCUCUACUAAAAAUACAAAAUUAGCUGGGUGUGGUGGCGCAUGCCUGUAAUCCCGGCUACUAGGGAGGCUGAGGCAGGAGAAUUGCUUGAACCCAGGAGGCGGAGGUUGUGGUGAGCUGAGAUCGCGCCACUGCACUCCAGCCUGGGCAACGAGAGCGAAACUCAGUUUCAAAAAAAAAAAGAAAUCUACUUCUAGAAUACUGGUUAUGUCUUUUAAUGAUUUUUUUUUCCAGGACCAGGCGAAAAUUGAUAAUUAGUGAGGGUCUUUUAUGGUUUUUCUUUUUUACCUGCUCAAGCUGAUCUGUUGACCAGAAUAGCUAAUAGAUAGUGCUGAGAAAGAAAUCUUAACCAUAGCUGAAAUAAAUUGUUUAUAUUAAUAAGGGUUAAAAUGUGACUAUCUUACUUCAAUUAGAAAAUGAUGUCAUGAUUUAGAAUACUCACUUGAGGUUGGAAGGAUUUUACAGAAAAGCUAUCACAAUCCUAAAGGAAUCAAACAUAGCAAAGUCGUUUGGGAAGAAAACUUUAAAAAUUGGGUCAACACUGCAGGGCAGUAGGUGAAGUGUGCUGCUUCUUUUCAGGUUCAGGUUCCUAUGAAGUUUAAUAUAUAUCAUUGAAGAAUUUACUAGACCACAUUAGUGCCCCUACUUAUCAAGAGAGCCUGCAGAAACCUGAGCCAGUCAUGAAGCAGGUGUUACAAGCAUCUGCACUCCAUAUUUGCUACUGAGAUCUCUCAUCUCAGCCUUAUUGAGUAUUGAUUGGUGAUAAUUCCUAACAAGUUUGGAAAUAUCAUCACCUAGACCCUUGAAGCAAGAGCAAAACAGGGUGGGAUGGGAGUAGACUUGUUUGGGUCAUGGAAUCAGUAGCUGUUAAAAUCACCCCAAUGUUGGGGCACAGUGGCUCACACCUGCAAUCCCCGCCCUAUGGGAGGCUGAGGCAGGCUGAUCACUUGAGCUCAGGAAUUCAAGACCAGCACAGACAACAUGGAGAAACCUCAUCUCUACAAAAAAAAAAAUACAAAACUUAGCCAGGCGUGGUGGCAUGUGCCUGUAGUCCCAAGCUACUUGGGAGGCUGAGGUGGGAGGAUCGCUUGAGCCCAGGAGGCAGAGGUCGCAGCGAGCUGAGAUCAUGCCCCUGCAGUCCAGCCUGGUCAACAGAGCUGACUUUGUUGUCUCAACACCACCAAAAAAAUCACCCUAAUAGUCAUAAAGGACUACAGAUAAAUAAUGUCCCUGAGUUACCAAGACAAACAAAGUUCCCUGUUAGGAGACUGAAAAGGGUUCACUCAGCUCAAUAAGAAAGGCACCAAGACUUUGUCUAGAGUCUUAAAAACAAUCACACUCUGAUGCAUGAUUUUACUUUUGGUAAUCUACUCUGGGCUGAAACAGAUAAUCAUCAAGAUGUUCAUGACAGGAUUACUUAAAAUAAAUAAUUCAAAGCAGCCAAAACGUUUAACAGUUGUGGAAAGAACAAGUAAUAGAAUGCAAGAGAGUCUAAAAUUAUGUAUUUUAAAGAAAAAAAUGCUUGUUACGUCAUUAUAAAAAAAAAAAAAAAAAAAAACAGGCCGGGCGCGGUGGCUCAUGCCUGUAAUCCCAGCACUUUGGGAGGCCGAGGCAGGUGGAUCACCUGAGGUCAGGAGUUCAAGACCAGCCUGACCAACAUGGAGAAACCUCAUCUUUACCAAAAAUAAAAAAAUUAGCCGAGUAUGGUGGCGCAUGGCUAUAAUCCCAGCUACUCAGGAGGCUGAGGCAGGAGAAUCGCUUGAACCCAGGAGACGGAGGUUGCAGAGAGCCGAGAUUGUGCCAUUUGCACUCCAGCUUGGGCAACAAGAGCGAAACUUCAUCUCAAAAAACAAACAAACAAACAAAAAAAACCCAAAAAAACAGAGGAUAUCAAAUUGUAGUGCAGUACAACUUCAACCUCAACAAGGAUUUAAAAAAGGCAUUGAAAAACGACCAGAAGGAGAUAUGCCAAAGCAUAAUGAAAAAUAAUAAUUUACUCUUAUUCACCAAAAUGAAGAUUUAUGAUUGAAUGUAAUUUAGAACCAUUUUAUCCAUAAAUAAAGUAGGUCCCAACAAACACUUUAAUUGGGUUACCUUCAUUGAAAACAUGCCAUAAGUCAAAUAUCUAAUUUUAUUUUUCCAAAGAAAUUACGUUUAAGGAUCAUAGGACCAACCUUUAUUUUUAUCACCAUAAGCAGCACGUUUUACCAACUGGCACUUUUUAACUAUCACAUAAAGCCAAACAAAUAAAAGAAUACAAUCAUUACACAAAAGUUUUAAUAUGUUGUAUGUUGCAACCAUCAGAAUCUUCUUUUCAGUUUCUAUGCAUUUCUUCAGGAUUCUCCCAUUGCAUUUAUUACUACAAAGCAAAGGUGCUUGAAACAGGACGUAAGAUCCAGAGAGUGUUUUUGUGUGUGUAUUGUUGGGGGGGGGCGGGGACAAGCAUUUUCAAAAAAUGUUUUUGAGUAGAUUUGUCAGCUAUCACUCAGCUUUCGGAAAUACUGUCUUAGGAUGGCUACUUUUCUGCCCUCUUUCUCACUUGACGUUUCAUAACAGUGGGUGCAGGUACAGAACUCCACUGCCCAUCUGACUAAAUGUGAUGACAGACAGACACCGGAUGACCCGCAGCUUCCUCAGCCGGCCAUUUCUACAGUUUUUCCCACCCCACCUUGUAGACGUUACACGCGCUCAUGACUCAAAGCGUCCCUGUCUUUCAAAAUUACUUACAAAGAGCCUCUUUUGACCACUGAAGCAAAGAUUUUUUAAAAGCUCUUCUGAAGAAAGGGUUAAUUCAUCAUAAUACAAUCUCCAAACACCAUGUUGUCAGCUCAGGCUUAUGGGAAAAGGAAGUGUGUGUGACAGACAGCAAGGGACAAGACAGACUCCAGAGAGCCCUGAGGAAGCAAACACCAAGCCCACUGCUAUGUCUCUGGAAAUUACAGUUUAAAUGUGUCUUUAGUGAAAAUGAAUUUAUCUAGUUCCUAACCAUAUACCGUCAUGUCAUCUCCCCUCAAAAAGCCUGGGCAUGGCACUGGGGACUUGCAAUAAAUAGCCUUUAAAGUUA